rnacentral:rRNA from 1 species
GUGGGGAAUAUUGGACAAUGGGCGCAAGCCUGAUCCAGCCAUGCCGCGUGUGUGAAGAAGGCCUUUUGGUUGUAAAGCACUUUAAGCGAGGAGGAGGCUCCUUUAGUUAAUACCUAAAGAGAGUGGACGUUACUCGCAGAAUAAGCACCGGCUAACUCUGUGCCAGCAGCCGCGGUAAUACAGAGGGUGCGAGCGUUAAUCGGAUUUACUGGGCGUAAAGCGUGCGUAGGCGGCUUUUUAAGUCGGAUGUGAAAUCCCCGAGCUUAACUUGGGAAUUGCAUUCGAUACUGGGAAGCUAGAGUAUGGGAGAGGAUGGUAGAAUUCCAGGUGUAGCGGUGAAAUGCGUAGAGAUCUGGAGGAAUACCGAUGGCGAAGGCAGCCAUCUGGCCUAAUACUGACGCUGAGGUACGAAAGCAUGGGGAGCAAACAGGAUUAGAAACCCUUGUAGUCC